UUUUUUGAAUUGUUAUUUGGAUGGAGAGUUGUCUCAUUGGCACUCACACCACAUCUUCCUAUAUCUAUGGGCUUAAGGGAAGUAUCCUUUGUACUAUGCUAAUUGUCCUGCCUCAUUUGUUUUACAUUUGAAGGUAACACUCUGACGGAUGUUUGAUGUAAAUAGUAAACGGACCAUUCUUCAAUUGAGAAAACUUAUCAUUUUACUACACAAAUCCUUGAGAAAACACAAUAAAACAAUGCGGGUGGGGGUUGGGGGGGGGGGGGGAGGGGAGAAGAAAUUGAAAUGUUUGUACAUGUAUUAUGACUGCAUAUGUAAUCCUUGAACAUGAAGAGCGUAUUUUGCCUACAUACCGGUAUCAGUUCUCUGGUAGUUUUGGCAAAGCUGUAGUUUUAAUAAGCCCUCUAUUUUUUUUUUCUUUCAAGCUGGUUCCAAAGAAUUUCAAAACCGAAACACCGUGGCCUUUAGCCGUUUCUUGAAGUUUUCUAAGUUACCAAACCUUCUCAUGUGUUCUGAGCAGAUUAACUAACCAAAAUGAAAUGGUUAGAUGAACUACGACAAACGGACAUGCACGUACAACUCAUAACUCGGGGAUGGUUGCAGACGUUAGGGAACUACCAUUUUUAUUGGGAGGGGGAGGGGACAAGGGUGGAAUUUGAAGAAAAAAAAAUAGGCAGGACGGUAGUUUUAAGUGAAAAAAAAUAGGCAGGAUUACAAUUUAUGUAAAACAAAAUCCCCCCCCCCCCCCCCAAAAAAAAAAAGAAAAUAAAGCAGUACCAAAUAGAUUGAAAAUUAAAAGGCAGAACCUUUUUCAUCCUAGCUCCCCCCCUUAAAAGUCAAAUGGUAGCUCUCUUAUCAAGGAAACUUAUCAAGAUGAAAAUGAAGUCAUGAUCAGAUUAAUUUUGUCAGACUAGUUGUAUUCGGAAAAACGGUAAUAAUCGUGACAGCAAAAAUCAAAAGCUUGACGAAUUGACAACAAAGACGUCAAUCACCAUGACAAACCGACAAUUCAUCUGAAUCAUUGCAUAUACCCAAUAUAGUUGGUCUUAUAUUUAAUGCUUGCAGUAAUUACAACAAUUCCAUAUACUAAAUAUAAAUAUCACUAUCAGACCUGCUCACAAAAGCUGGACCAAUGAUCAAUACAAAUGGGGUCAAGACCAGAAGAACUCUUUCCGACAGAUAUCAUUACAUACAAGGACUUGUCAACAUAUUGCAUAUAUACAGAAAUCCGCGAAAUGGUCAUCAUCACAUGAUAAUGAGUUCAAGGUCACUGUUGAACCCUUCCAGACAAACAUGAUAUUUGAUCCCUGCACCUUGCAAAAAUUAUGUAAUUUUCUUGACAAGUAUAACAUCAUUUUGUGACUUGAAUAUCUGAGCAUAAAUUUCCUUAAUGUUAAUGAAUAGGAUUUAAAGAAUGUGAUGAUCAAUGCACUAUUUUUUGUGUCAAAGGAAGAUUUAAAUAUUGAGUCAGUAUCAUAGGGUUAUGAUUGCAUUUGAAUGCAAUCUUUACUCCAAAAUCAUAUGACCAUUAUAAAACAAACAGAAAUAUGAGAGAGAAAAAUUUGGUCAUAAGGCAUCUAAGGGUAAAUGAAGUUUCUUCUGAAAAAUGUAACUUUCUGCAAAAGACUUAACCUUCUUUCACAGGAUUAGCAUCUUUAUGUCUGACAUUCUGUGACAGGCAAUAAAAAAGCAAACUGAUCUAAGUUUUUCCCCCAAC
rnacentral:lncRNA from 1 species